GAUGAACGCUGGCGGCGUGCCUAAUACAUGCAAGUCGAGCGAACGGACGAGAAGCUUGCUUCUCUGAUGUUAGCGGCGGACGGGUGAGUAACACGUGGAUAACCUACCUAUAAGACUGGGAUAACUUCGGGAAACCGGAGCUAAUACCGGAUGAUAUUUUGAACCGCAUGGUUCAAAAGCGAAAGACGGUCUUGCUGUCACUUAUAGAUGGAUCCGCGCUGCAUUAGCUAGUUGGUAAGGUAACGGCUUACCAAGGCAACGAUGCAUAGCCGACCUGAGAGGGUGAUCGGCCACACUGGAACUGAGACACGGUCCAGACUCCUACGGGAGGCAGCAGUAGGGAAUCUUCCGCAAUGGGCGAAAGCCUGACGGAGCAACGCCGCGUGAGUGAUGAAGGUCUUCGGAUCGUAAAACUCUGUUAUUAGGGAAGAACAUAUAUGUAAGUAACUGUGCACAUCUUGACGGUACCUAAUCAGAAAGCCACGGCUAACUACGUG
rnacentral:rRNA from 1 species